rnacentral:rRNA from 1 species
GACGAACGCUGGCGGCGUGCUUAACACAUGCAAGUCGAACGGAGUGGCGAACGGGUGAGUAACACGUGGGUGACCUUCCCUGCACUUCGGGAUAAUCCCGGGAAACUGGGUCUAAUACUGGCUCGUGUGGGAUGGGCCCGCGGCCUAUCCGCUUGUUGGUGGGGUGAUGGCCGACCAAGGCGGCGACGGGUAGCCGGACUGAGAGGGUGGGCGGCCACAGUGGGACUGAGACACGGCCCAGAGUCCUACGGGAGGCAGCAGGGGGGAAUAUUGCACAAUGGGCGGAAGCCUGAUGCAGCGACGCCGCGGGGGUGAUGACGGCCUUCGGGUUGGAAACUCCUUUCACCAUCGACGCGGUAGAUGGAGAAGAAGCACCGGCUAACUACGUGCCAGCAGCCGCGGUAAUUC